rnacentral:misc_RNA from 1 species
UCCGAGUUGACCCCGGCAGUCUCCCAUGAGUCCCCACCACUACGUGCUGGCAACAUGGAAUAAGGGUUGCGCUCGUUGCGGGACUUAACCCAACAUCUCACGACACGAGCUGACGACAGCCAUGCAGCACCUGUGCACGUGUCCCGAAGGAGGGCCCCUGUUUCCAAGGGCUUUCACGUGCAUGUCAAGCCCAGGUAAGGUUCUUCGCGUUGCUUCGAAUUAAACCACAUGCUCCGCCGCUUGUGCGGGUCCCCGUCAAUUCCUUUGAGUUUUAACCUUGCGGCCGUACUCCCCAGGCGGAUGACUUAACGCGUUAGCUGCGCCACCGGAACGCUAAGCGCCCCGACAGCUAGUCAUCAUCGUUUACGGCGUGGACUAC